rnacentral:rRNA from 1 species
GAUGAACGCUAGCUACAGGCUUAACACAUGCAAGUCGAGGGGAAACGACAUCGAAAGCUUGCUUUUGUUGGGCGUCGACCGGCGCACGGGUGAGUAACGCGUAUCCAACCUGCCCAUCACUUGGGGAUAACCUUGCGAAAGUAAGACUAAUACCCAAUGAUAUCUCUAGAAGACAUCUGAAAGAGAUUAAAGAUUUAUCGGUGAUGGAGGGGGAUGCGUCUGAUUAGCUUGUUGGCGGGGUAACGGCCCACCAAGGCAACGAUCAGUAGGGGUUCUGAGAGGAAGGUCCCCCACAUUGGAACUGAGCAACGGGCCAAACUACUACGGGAGGCAGCAGUGAGGAAUAUUGGUCAAUGGGCGAGAGCCUGAACCAGCCAAGUAGAGUGCAGGAAGACGGCCCUAUGGGUUGUAAACUGCUUUUAUAAGGGAAUAAAGUGAGAGUCGUGACUCUUUUUGUAUGUACCUUAUGAAUAAGGACCGGCUAAUUCCGUG